rnacentral:misc_RNA from 1 species
UUAUUAACAUUUAACAAUUCUUAGUUGAUAAGACAUGGUGAUUUAUUGUGACACUGUCAGGCAUCUGAAAGAGUUUCUUUGAGCCCAGGAAUUUGCUUUCCAGAAUGGGGCAAAUGAUUAAAAAAGAAAAAGCCAUUCUUGAACUUUGCCCACUUUUUCAAUUUUUGUGAAAACUUUUAGUUUUACGAAUUGUGGCUGUGAACUUUAAUAUUGGUAACAAUUAUGGCCAAUUUUUGUACUAAUGGAGCCUGUAUAAUAAGCAAUUGUUGAAAAAUAUAUUUUUUAAUUUCUUAGCAAUUUUUAUAAAUAUAAAAUUUUUUUCUCUUUAUGAAAAUGGUUGGUGAAUAAAAA